rnacentral:rRNA from 1 species
GUACGCUAUUCAGAGUUUGAUCCUGGCUCAGGACGAACGCUGGCGGCGUGCCUAACACAUGCAAGUCGAACGGGGUUACGGAAGCUUGCUUCUGUAACUUAGUGGCGAACGGGUGAGUAACGCGUGAGGAACCUGCCUUUCAGUGGGGGACAACAGUUGGAAACGACUGCUAAUACCGCAUAAUGUUAUCGAUCGGCAUCGAUUGAUAACCAAAGCUUUAUGUGCUGAAAGAUGGCCUCGCGUCUGAUUAGAUAGUUGGUGGGGUAACGGCCUACCAAGUCGACGAUCAGUAGCCGGUCUGAGAGGAUGAACGGCCACAUUGGGACUGAGAUACGGCCCAG